rnacentral:rRNA from 1 species
UGUCUCAGUAUAAGCUUCUAUACGGCGAAACUGCGAAUGGCUCAUUAAAACAGUUAUAGUUUAUUUGGUGGUCAGCAAUUACAUGGAUAACCGUGGUAAUUCUAGAGCUAAUACAUGCGUCCAAACCCGACUUCGUGGAAGGGUUGUGUUUAUUAGAUACAGAACCAACCCAGGCUCCGCCUGGCCUUGAGGUGAUUCAUAAUAACCGAACGAAUCGCAUGGCUAUGCCGGCGAUAGACCAUUCAAGUUUCUGACCUAUCAGCUAUCGUCGGUAGGGUAUUGGCCUACCGUGGCAAUGACGGGUAACGGAGAAUUAGGGUUCGAUUCCGGAGAGGGAGCCUGAGAAACGGCUACCACAUCUAAGGAAGGCAGCAGGCGCGCAAAUUACCCAAUCCUGACGCAGGGAGGUAGUGACAAGAAAUAACAAUACAGGGCAUACAUGUCUUGUAAUUGGAAUGAGUAAACUUUAAAUCACUUUACGAGUAUCAAUUGGAGGG